rnacentral:lncRNA from 1 species
AUGCGGCCGUGGAGUGAGCUAAAAAAAGAGCUGCAUAUAAAUGAAACUGCACACAGUUGGGUCGUGUUUAGGUUCCUUUUAGUUGGAGAGACAAUGGAAUGUUUUCCUCUGUUUGUUCUGGGGCUUAUGGUGCUGGUGGCCAAAUCGCAGGAUACCGUGAUUGCAGUCUUAGACAGAGACACGGUUCUUCACUGCGCUGAUUCUGAGGUGAAUCUAGAGAACUGCCACAGAGUCAGAUGGGUUAAAUAUUCUAAACACGCCAGGCAAAUCCUCCUUUCCAAGCCUAAAACGCUCAACUUCCCUGAUGCUGAACGAGUGGAAUGGAGGCCUGAUGGAAAGAGAAACCUUUCUCUUUGGCUGACCAGGGUGCAACCAUCAGACACGGGGCUUUACAGCUGUGAAAUCUGGCGAGGCUGGGAACGUGUUAACGUCCGAAACACGUCUUUAACAUUCAAAGAGUGCAGAGGCCUGCCGGCUGUGAGGGCGGUGAAGGGCGCCUCCGCCAACCUGACCUGCCCGCUGGACGACAAGAUGGCGACCCUGCCAGGACCCAUAAACGUCUCCUGGGUGAUGCUGAAAGUAGCCAAACCUUUACCAAUCGCAUCAGAACGGGCCGAAGUCAACGGGAUGUCGCUGUCCUUCAGGUCUGUUGUUGGGAAGGAUGCAAGCUGGUAUAGAUGCAACUACACGCUGGGAGACGGUCACCGCUGCUAUGACAUUAAUCUGCAGGUCCAAGAUUCAGAGCUCUCCUCAACGCCUGUGAUGGAAUCCAGGGAGCAGGAGGAUGAGGAGGUGAAGGAGGUGCAGCAGAGCAUCAAACCUUUGGCUGCCGCUCUGACCGCCAUCGUGGUCGCCAUGGCUGCCGCAGCGGCUGGAUUUUUCAUGUACCGCAGACGCAAGAGUCACGCAGCGGCACCAGGAGCUCAGGCCUUCGAAGCAGGUCUGAAGGCUUCACUCACGCAGUCGUGCGGCAACAGCAGCGUUACUGUGCGCUCUCUCCGCACAGGUGCCCACACCAGCUCAUACGACGAGUACGAGAACGCGGACUACACAGUCUACAAACACAGCAGCAUAUAUCAAGAGGCUCCUCAAGUUGGCAUUAAUUCUUUCAGUUACUGA